rnacentral:rRNA from 1 species
CCCUUAGAUGUUCUGGGCUGCACGCGCGCUACACUGAUGCAUCCAGCGAGUUGUACCCUUGCUUGGUAAAGUUUGGUAAUCUGAGGCUAAUGUGCAUCGUGAUGGGAAUAGAGUUUUGCAACUAUUAGUCUUGAACGAGGAAUUCCUCGUAAGCACGAGUCAUCAGCUUGUGCUGAUUACGUCCCUGCCCUUUGUACACACCGCCCGUCGCUCCUACCGAUUGAAUGUUCCGGUGAAUACUUCGGACUGCGAGGUCUGCAGUUUCUGCGUUCCUUGCGGAAAGUUGAAUAAACCUUAACAUUUAGAGGAAGGAGAAGUCGUAACA